ACUUCAAGUCUGUCAUAUCCCUUGCACCUCUAGCGGACGAAGUUGGAACGAGAUUGCCAGAACACAUCUGGGAGCUAACCUCACCCAGAUAAGCCAAUUGCUGGAUUUAUCGUUAUCUACAACCACUUGGGGAGCAUACUUGAAUGCGUGUGAAGAAUGGCAGCAGUUUAUGGUUAAUUUAAAUAGGGACUCUACCGAUCCCACUAUACAGGAUGCAAUUCAAUGUGUGGUUAAAAAAAUUCAGGCUGGUGCAUCCAAGUUUUCAUUUAAAAGAGCCCUAUUAGGCAUUUCCUUUUUCCUUAAGGUAUUGGGGAAGAAGUCUGUUUUUAAAGAAUUCAUUAUUCAGCAAAUGUUAAAAUGGGCCUGGUUAAAGAAAGCAUCAGUCCAAGAUAACAGGUCCCCUAUCUCUUUUCAAUUAUUGGGUGAUUUGGUAAAUAAUUUGAGCUCUGUUUGUAGAAAUACAUUUGAGAUCCAGCUUUUUACCACUGCUUUUAUUUUAGCAUUUUUUUGGAGCUUUUAGAAUCAGAGAAUUAGUUUUUGCUAACAAGUCUUGCCAUUCAGGCAUUCAAUGUAAGGACGUACAAUUACAAG